CGGGGCUGCGAAGGGCUCCGUGCGGGGCGCGGGCUGCCGGUUAAGCUGCUCCCUGGCUGGGGCCGCUCGGCCCGCGACGCUGCGCAUCUGGCUGGCGUGGGGCUGGCUAACCCCGAGCUCUACCCGGUCCCCGGGGUGCCCGUGUCCCCGUGCUGCCCGGGGGCUGCUGAACCGGAACCGGAGCAGACUGGUGGCAUUCCGGGGACUGGGAGCAGAGUCCUUCCCUCCCGCAAGGACCGCGCAUCCUAUGCUAGUUGUUCCUGCCCAGCCAUGCAGUGGGUGAUGAAGCUUUACUUGCUGGGUGUGUUGCUGUCUCUGCUGUCGGUUCUCUUUGGAUUGAUGGACUCCCUGGGCAGCCUGAUGGCCCCUCAGGAUCUGGAGCAGUGCCUCUCCAGCCCAUGGAUCAAACCAGAGGGCAGCCUUGCCGAGGGCCAGCCGAAGAUCCUCCAAGGGCGGGCGACGCGAAGGACUAACAAAGCCUUUGGCUCACACCUCUGAGCUCUGUGGCUGGGGGACUGCUCUGUGACGGCUCAACAUGGUACUUGGACUCCGGCUUUGGCUCUUUGGGGCUGCAUUGCUGGCAUCUCCCUUCCUCUGAGAUGAAAGGCAGCGAGUUCUCAUGGGCAGGCAGCGGCUGCUGCUGCCACCAAGCUUCUGGCCUGGUACUUGGAUAACGUCCCUGCUAAAAUUAUGCAGAGAGCUGGGCCGCUGUGAGGAUAGGGCAGGGCAGGGUGUCCUGUGCACAAAUCCCUCUCCAGCCCGGAACCCCUACCAUGCAGAAUGCCCUGGUGCAGUGGGGAAUAAGAGGCUGCAUGGCUACGCUUGGAGUGAAUGCUGAACUCUGAGUGCAGGGAGGGUGGUGGGGCCUGGCUCGCGGGGGCUGUCUGGAAAUGCAGUUGUACUGGGUGGUGGGGAGGGACCUCUGCAGGGGGGAUCUUGAGCUGUUUGCCCUAAUGAAAUGCCUCUCCAAGGUGAUGAUGUCCUAGUCCUUCAUCCACAGCUGCAAAGCUAGUAGCUGCUCUCCAAGGCUGGAGCCUCCUGGAGCUGCUGAGGCUGCCUGCUCACCCCGUGGGUGUUGGGCUGGGGCUAGCAGAGAGGAGGCUGCAGCUGGUGUGUGCUGUGUGGGGGAGAUGGAAUAAGCAGCCCUCAUUAACGUGCCUCCUGCCUGGCCUGGGGGGCCUCCCCUCCCCCUGGGGCCUGCUCAGUCCUUCCCAGCUCUGAGCCAGCAAGGGAGGGAUUCUGCUGCACUGGGAACCCCCCACUCCUUGUCCACCUGCCAGCCCGAGCCAGGCAGCCUCCCCUCUCAGCUGUACAAGAAGUGCUGCUGCCCAGCUGUGAGGUCAGCUCUCCUGUCCCUGGGGCAGUGGCGCUUCUGGGACCUGGAGCCCUUGAUCCAUUUGCCCUGAUCCUCUUUCAGAGGGAAGAGGGGCCCCAGGGGCUUUCUGGGGUGGGGAUUUCUGUGCAAAGGAGUCUAGCCCCUCGCCCCUCUCUGCCUGGAAGGGCUUUGAGUCUUUUCCUGCUUGCAACCUCGACAAUGCUGGGUCUGGGCAGCCUGGGAUUGCUAGAGGCUGGGAUGUGUCCCUGCUCACUGGAGGGGCUGUGCUGAGUGACUGACCCAGAUGCCCUGUAUCCAGGGUGUUAGCAGGUCCCACUGUGGGGUGGGGGGGAGGAAGGGGGGAGAGAGAGAGUUCCACCCUGCCCCCAGGAUGGGAGGCACAGUGAAAGCCCUGGUAUAGACAAGGCUGUGGGUUUCCCUCUGCUCAUGUCUGCAAGCCCCGGGCUGCCCAUGCUCUGGGAGCUCCUCGGCCUCCCUAGCCAGCAGCAAGAGGAUUCAGAGGCCCUGAGGCAAAGCAAUUUCGGGGGCCCCUUCAACAAAAAAAAAGUUGCAAUACUAAUAGAAUACUAUAUUCCUGCGGGGCCUGGGGCAGAUUGCCCCACUUGCCCCUGCCUCUGGGCAGCACUGCAAGGCUGGCUUUGGCUUUUGCACCUUCACCUUCUCAAUGUGCCCAUUAAGUGCCAGCUCCCCUGUCUGAAAGGGCUGGCAGGAGCCCCUCCAGCUCUGCCUCUGGGCUGCCCUCCCACUGGGGCCUGGCACAGCCGGACCUUCAUUAGUGCAGCUCAGGGGAUCUGCUCCACAAUGGGGUGGGUGGGGGUGCAAAUGCCUCUGCAGGGCCUGCUGCAGCAGCCUUUCCCUAUUCCUGUGAGGGAUGGGCAGGGCUGGCUGGCAGCGAGGGGCCCUGGCCCCAUUCUGGCCCACUGAGGUGGGGCAGGAGGACCCAUUCCAAGCCCUAGUGCCUAGGAAUUCGGGCAGGGUUGGACUCUCAACAGGCUUGGGGAUGGUUUUUUGCUUCCUGAGGAGGGGGAUAAGGUGUGGUGGUUUUGGGUGGGGGUCCUGGGCCCUUGGCCAAAGGGAAAACCGCCUGUGUCUGAAUGCUGUGCCUGCUUCUCCUCCCAGACUUCCUGAAGCCAAGCUACUGGAACCCAGCUGGGUUAUGGGGAGGCUCCCCCUCUGGGGGGGGGGCUCACGGGGUCAGCGCAGGGGAAGCCUGGUGUCAGGCUGGAUCCACUGAUGGUUUGUCUCUUGCCUUGCGGGGCCUGUCAUGGGCUGUGGCUGCAGCGGUCUGCUGCUGGGCCCAGCCCCUCUGUUUCCCCACCCCGUGCACGGGCUGAGUGCUGCUGGGGGUCCCGGCCUCUAGUUCUGUGCAAUAAAAAGGAGAUGGCUUUUGA